AAUUCCUAAUGGCCUCCGACCAGGCUACCGACAGAAGAUGUUCUCCCGAGUCUUGCUGAGCAAACCUUGGUAUUUACUUGGAUUGCUCUCUGAUUCCCCUGAGAAGAAUGAUG